UUUGUUAUUGUCAUGAAGGCCGAACCACGAGCCGGAAAGGUAGUGACUCAAUCUUAUGGAGGAAUGACAUCCUCUAAGACAUCCAUAUCCGAGCACCUGGUAAGCACCAAACGUUUCUCGAGAAUUAUAACCAAUAGCUUCAAGCUUCCGUCUGACUUUUCUAAGAAUUACCGUGGAAUCAGUAAGAGUUUACACGGCACAAAAUUCUAGGUUUUCAUCUCCUAUUGAUUGGAACCCAAUUAAAUGCGUGUCGGUGUCCACUGUCAAAAUGGCCUCAUUGUUUAGGAUAUCCAUGGGGAACGAUCCUGGAUAAGGUUCCUCACCUCAGAUCGAUGUACUUAGUGUUCAUUGCACCUCCAUAUCUUUUCUUUCUUCCUCCGCUUCUGGAUCUGUCUUACAGUAUUAUAAUACCCGACACAAAUCUCUCUCUCACUCACUCUCACUCAUACAUGCAGAAGAAGAAACGGAAGAGAUCAACAGGUCCUUAGAAAAUGAAAGGACUACUAGGGGACGGCAAUAACUUGUAAACAAAGACUCAACGUAACAAGUGAACGAGGGAAUCAUGCAUGUGGGAAGCAACAUGCCCACGUACUGUGUUUCGACAAGCUCUACAAAGUACUGGCUUCAAUUCUUGGCUAUUGCUAAAUCUCCGAAUCUUACAAUAGUACUGGUCACAG
rnacentral:lncRNA from 1 species